GGCAGUUCUCAGGUGACGCACCCUGAAAUUGGGCUCCCUCUCUGGUUCCGGGUGCAUCACCAAGAACCGCA
rfam:Myotis davidii contig4995, whole genome shotgun sequence.